GCCCGGAAUGCCUUCUUAGGAACCUGGCCAGUGUGCAUAUCUGAAUCUCACAUCUGAAACAAGGGCUGAGCAGCCAGGAACAAACAACCUUUUACAACAUGUAAUCUUAUAUUCAAGUAAAUAAUUAUUGAUGGAAUUACUAUAAUUGGUCUUAUGGAACUACAUCCCAGAGUGAAGCAACUAAAUUAUGCAUGCAUGGAAAGACCGAGUCAAACAGACCAAGUUGAACCAUUGUGAUUUACCGAAUAGAUUUCAUUUCAGGGUCACAUUGGCCAGGGAACGUUAAUUCAGAUUCACUGAGUGCUGAAAAUGAC